rnacentral:tRNA from 1 species
GCGUCCAUAGCUCAACUGGAUAGAGCAUCAGACUUCGGAUCUGAGGGUUGAGGGUUCGAAUCCUUCUGGGCGCACCA